rnacentral:rRNA from 1 species
UACAGAGACUGCAAGCGUUAUUCGGAUUCACUGGGCGUAAAGGGUGCGCAGGCGGCCAAGUGUGUGAGGCGUGAAAGCCCGGGGCUUAACCCCGGGUCGGCAGUGGAUACGGGCAGGCUAGAGGUAGGUAGGGGAGAAUGGAAUUCCCGGUGUAGCGGUGAAAUGCGCAGAUAUCGGGAGGAACACCGGUGGCGAAGGCGGUUCUCUGGGCCUUACCUGACGCUGAGGAGCGAAAGCGUGGGGAGCGAACAGG